UACAGAGGGGGCAAGCGUUGUUCGGAAUUACUGGGCGUAAAGGGCGCGUAGGCGGCCCGCUAAGUCGAACGUGAAAUCCCCGGGCUCAACCCGGGAACUGCGUCCGAUACUGGUGGGCUUGAAUCCGGGAGAGGGAUGCGGAAUUCCAGGUGUAGCGGUGAAAUGCAUAGAUAUCUGGAGGAACACCAGUGGCGAAGGCGGCAUCCUGGCCUUAUCCUGACGCUCAGGGGCGAAAGCGUGGGGAGCAAACCGG
rnacentral:rRNA from 1 species